rnacentral:rRNA from 1 species
GACAGAGGAUGCAAGCGUUAUCCGGAAUGAUUGGGCGUAAAGCGCACGUAGGCGGCUUUGUAAGUUAGAGGUGAAAGCCCAGGGCUUAACCCUGGAAUUGCCUUUAAGACUGCAUCGCUAGAAUCGUGGAGAGGUGAGUGGAAUUCCGAGUGUAGAGGUGAAAUUCGUAGAUAUUCGGAAGAACACCAGUGGCGAAGGCGGCUCUCUGGACCGAGACUGACGCUGAGGCGCGAAAGCGUGGGGAGCAAACAGG